UUAGGAAUAUUGGUCAAUUGGCGAGAGCCUGAACCAGCCAAGUAGCGUGCAGGAUGACGGCCCUAUGGGUUGUAAACUGCUUUUAUAUGGGAAUAAAGUGAGGGACGUGUCCCUUAUUGCAUGUACCAUACGUAUAAGGACCGGCUAAUUCCGUGCCAGCAGCCGCGGUAAUACGGAAGGUCCAGGCGUUAUCCGGAUUUAUUGGGUUUAAAGGGAGCGUAGGCUGUUUGUUAAGCGUGUUGUGAAAUGUAGGAGCUCAACUUUUAGAUUGCAGCGCGAACUGGCAGACUUGAGUGCGCACAACGUAGGCGGAAUUCAUGGUGUAGCGGUGAAAUGCUUAGAUAUCAUGACGAACUCCGAUUGCGAAGGCAGCUUACGGGAGCGCAACUGACGCUAAAGCUCGAAGGUGCGGGUAUCGAACAGG
rnacentral:rRNA from 1 species